UCACAACUCCGCCCAUAAAUUCAGUUUCUGCGUUCAAAUUUCCUCUUCUCGACACCAUUGUUGGAUCAACAAAAUCCUAAUUUGUUCCACGCAAAGCUUUCCUGAAAUUUGAGACCCCACUUACUAGUUUAUCAGAGGCAAAGCUGUAUGAUGGGUCUGGAACUGAAGUUGAUGGGGAUGUGUUUGAAGAGGUGGUGAAACAGCCAGAUCUUGGUGUUUUCAAUCUCACACUGAACAAUGAUGCUAAAGCUAAUAGCGAGCAUACUGAAGAAGAAUCCUGGUGGAGAGGUUGUCAUCAAGUCAUACUGCAAAACUAACAGCCUGACUGACUACACCAGACGAAAGAUGAUCAACAUUCUUGUUUUGGAGAUGACAGACUCGCGGACAUUACCAUCGCGCAGUGUGAGAGAAACGUUUGCACAAGGCAUCCCAUACCUGAAGGAUCCCUACACCGCAAAUUAAUAUGAACAUUAUUACGACCCUAAUAGUGGAGAAGUGUACCUCUUAUAGAAUCUCAACCGUUCAGAGGAAUUUGGCUUCAUCUGAGAAACGGCCCACUCAACUAUAGUAUGGCGGGCCAACUGCUGAGAGGGAAUCCAGUCCAUCCACUUUGGCUACCCUGAGUGAAGACCGGUGCAGAGAGGCCAUUUCUCUUAUGAAGCAUUCUUCUGAUGAAGAAACAGUCAAACAGAAGAUGAAAAUGACCUUUAAGUACAGGAAGAAGAUGACCCACGACCCGAGUAAAUGCUCCACCAUCCUCACCAAAUUUCCACGCUUUAUGGAUGUGAAGGGCUUGAUUGAACAGGAUUUUGUGCUGCUGUUUUUUGAGGGAACAUCAGCCAAGUUUUUGGAGAGGUGGCUAACUACAAUCAAGCACAAAUACUGAUGGUUAGAUGAUCAUAAUUUGUCAUUUACACUACCGUUCAAAAGUUUGGGGUCACUUAGAAAUGUCCUUGUUUUUGAAAGAAAAGCACUUUUUUUGUCAAUUUAAAAUAACAUCAAAUUGAUCGGAAAUACAGUGGAGACAUUGUUAAUGUUGUAAAUUACUAUUGUUUUAUUUAUGUAUUUAUUUUCCCCUUUAUUUAACUAGGUAGGCAAGUUGAGAAUAAGUUCUCAUUUACAAUUGCGACCUGGCCAAGAUAAAGCAAAGCAGUUCGACACAUACAACAACACAGAGUUACACAUGGAGUAAAACAAACAUACAGUCAAUAAUACAGUAGAAAAAUAAGUCUAUAUACAAUGUGAGCAAAUGAGGUGAGAUAAGGGAAAAAAAGGCCAUGGUGGCGAAGUAAAUACAAUAUAGCAAGUAAAACACUGGAAUUGUAGAUGUGCAGUGGAAGAAUGUGCAAAGUAGAGAUAGAAAUAAUGGGGUGCAAAGGAGCAAAAUAAUUAAAUACAGUAGGGGGAGAGGUAGUUGUUUGGGCUAAAUUAUAGAUGGGCUAUGUACAGGUGCAGUAAUCUGUGAGCUGCUCUGACAGCUGGUGCUUAAAGCUAGUGAGGGAGAUAAGUGUUUCCAGUUUCAGAGAUUUUUGUAGUUCAUUCCAGUCAUUGGCAGCAGAGAACUGGAAGGAGAGGCGGCCAAAGGAAGAAUUGGUUUUGGGGGUGACCAGAAAGAUAUACCUGCUGAAGCGCGUGCUACAGGUGGGUGCUGCUAUGGUGACCAGCGAGCUGAGAUAAGGGGGGACUUUACCUAGCAGGGUCUUGUAGAUGACCUGGAGCCAGUGGGUUUGGCGACGAGUAUGAAGCGAGGGCCAACUAACGAGAGCGUACAGGUCGCAGUGGUGGGUAGUAUAUGGGGCUUUGGUGACAAAACGGAUGGCACUGUGAUAGACUGCAUCCAAUUUAUUGAGUAGGGUAUUGGAGGCUAUUUUGUAAAUGACAUCACCGAAGUCGAGGAUCGGUAGGAUGGUCAGUUUUACAAGGGUAUGUUUUGCAGCAUGAGUGAAGGAUGCUUUGUUGCGAAAUAGGAAGCCAAUUCUAGAUUUAACUUUGGAUUGGAGAUGUUUGAUGUGAGUCUGGAAGGAGAGUUUACAGUCUAACCAGACACCUAGGUAUUUGUAGUUGUCCACAUAUUCUAAGUCAGAACCGUCCAGAGUAGUGAUGUUGGACGGGCGGGCAGGUGCAGGCAGCGAUCGGUUGAAGAGCAUGCAUUUAGUUUUACUUGUAUUUAAGAGCAAUUGGAGGCCACAGAAGGAGAGUUGUAUGGCAUUGAAGCUCGUCUGGAGGGUUAACAGUGUCCAAAGAAGGGCCAGAAGUAUACAGAAUGGUGUCGUCUGCGUAGAGGUGGAUCAGAGACUCACCAGCAGCAAGAGCGACAUCAUUGAUGUAUACUGAGAAGACAGUCGUUCCAAGAAUUGAACCCUGUGGCACCCCCAUAGAAACUGCCAGCGGCCCGGACAACAGGCCCUCCGAUUUGACACACUGAACUCUAUCAGAGAAGUAGUUGGUGAACCAAGCGAGGCAGUCAUUUGAGAAACCAAGGCUAUCGAGUCUGCCGAUGAGGAUGUGGUGAUUGACAGAGUCGAAAGGCUUGGCCAGGUCAAUGAAUACGGCUGCACAGUAUUGUUUCUUAUCGAUGGCGGUUAGUAUAUCGUUUAGGACCUUGAGUGUGGCUGAGGUGCACCCAUGACCAGUUCUGAAACCAGAUUGCAUUGCGGAGAAGGUAUGGUGGGAUUCGAAAUGGUCGGUGAUCUGUUUGUUGUCUUUGCUUUCGAAGACCUUAGAAAGGCAGGGUAGGAUAGAUAUAGGUCUGUAGCAGUUUGGGUCAAGAGUGUCCCGCCCUUUGAAGAAGGGGAUGACCGCAGCUGCUUUCCAAUCUUUGGGAAUCUCAGACGACACGAAAGCUGGAAACGGCUGAUUUUUAAUGGAAUAUCUACAUACAGAGGCCCAUUAUCAGCAACCAUCACUCAUGUGUUCGAUUACAGGCUCAAAAUGGCCAGAAACAAAUCACUUUCUUCUGAAACUCGUCGGUCUAUUCUUGUUCUGAGAAAUGAAGGCUACUCCAUACGAGAAAUUGGCAAGAAACUGAAGAUCUCGUACAAUGCUGUGUACUACUCUCUUCACAGGACAGUGCAAACUGGCUCUAACCAGAAUAGAAAGAGGAGUGGGAGUGUCUAGUUUGAGAAACACUUAACAAGUCCUCAACUGGCAGCUUUAUUAAAUAGUACCCGCAAAACACCAGUCUCAAUAGUGAAGAGGCGACCCCGGAAUGCUGACCUUCUGGGCAGAGUUCCUCUGUCCAGUGUCUGUUCUUUUGCCCAUCUUAAUCUUUUCUUUUUAUUGGCCAGUCUGGGAUAUGGCUUUUUCUUUGCAACUCUUCCAUGAAGGCCAGCAUCCUUCAUUAAAGCAUAAUUAUAUUUUGUCUGUAAGCAGUUUUAUUGCUUCUAUAAUCAGAACAACAGUUUUCAGCUGUGCAAACAUAAUUGCAAAAGGGUUUUCUAAUGAUCAAUUAGCCUGCUAAACUUGGAUUAGCUAACACAACGUGCCAUUGGAACACAGGAGUGAUGGCUGCUGAUAAUGGGCCUCUGUACUCCUAUAUUCCAUAAAAAAAUCUGCCGUUUUCAGCUACAAUAGUCAUUUACAACAGUAACAAUGUCUACACUGUGUUUCUGAUCAAUUUGAUGUUAUUUUAAUGGACAAAAUUUUUAUUUUCUUUCAAAAACAAGGAGAUUUCUAAGUGACCCCAAAUUUUGGAACG